rnacentral:rRNA from 1 species
GAUGAACGCUGGCGGCGUGCCUAAUACAUGCAAGUCGAGCGGAUGGACUAAGAGCUUGCUCUUAUGAAGUUAGCGGCGGACGGGUGAGCAACACGUGGGUAACCUGCCCAUAAGACUGGGAUAACUCCGGGAAACCGGGGCUAAUACCGGAUAACAUUUUGAACCGCAUGGUUCGAAAUUGAAAGGCGGCUUCGGCUGUCACUUAUGGAUGGACCCGCGUCGCAUUAGCUAGUUGGUGAGGUAACGGCCCACCAAGGCAACGAUGCGUAGCCGACCUGAGAGGGUGAUCGGCCACACUGGGACUGAGACACGGCCCAGACUCCUACGGGAGGCAGCAGUAGGGAAUCUUCCGCAAUGGACGAAAGUCUGACGGAGCAACGCCGCGUGAGUGAUGAAGGCUUUCGGGUCGUAAAACUCUGUUGUUAGGGAAGAACAAGUGCCAGUUGAAUAAGCUGGCACCUUGACGGUACCUAACCAGAAAGCCACGGCUAACUACGUGCCAGCAGCCGCGGUAA